GCCGCCGUAGCUCAGUUGGUAGAGCAACGGGCUGUUAACCCGUAGGUCGCAGGUUCAAAUCCUGCCGGCGGCGCCA
rnacentral:tRNA from 1 species